AAUUGCCUGAACCCAGGACGCGGAGGUUGCGGUGAGCCGAGAUUGCGCCAUUGCACUCCAGCCUGGGUAACGAGCAAAACUCCGUCCCAAAAAAAACAAAAAAACAAAAAAACUCCAAAGCAGUAAAUUACAUUAUGGGGUGACUUAUGUGAAGAAUAAAGUUUGUAAAACUAGUAAUAACAGGAGACCUUAAAAGAAAAACAGAUAUGUAAAAUUGGUAAAUAUAUAAGUCAUUGUUUUAAGAUGAAAAAAGGAAAUAUAUGGACCAUGCUAUAUAAAACAAGACUAAGAAAACAGUUAAGGUAAAUAUAGAUUACAGAAGACAGAAUGAAUAAUAAUAAAUACAAAGGAUUUAAAUCCUCCCCAUUAAGGCAAAGCAACUGGUUUAAGAAAACAGAAUAAUGCACAAGUUAGGAACUGAAGGUAAGUCAAAGGUUAUCUGCAGAAAUUAAGGAUUUAAUUGACAUUUAAUGAAUUUAAGAAAAAAAUGCAAUAAAGGCAAUCAAUACAUAAUUUUUAAAGGUAUAUAUAAAAUAUGUAUUAUAACCGCAUAUCAAUAACUGCACAAAACAAAGCAUAAGGCAAAAAAUAUUAAAAACCAAAGUAAAAUGGAUAGAAAUGUAUAGGUUGAAUAGACAAAAAGUGUAGGUAGAAACAAGAUAAAAUAUUCAGAAGCUAGAAAAGAAAGUUUGUUUAAAUGUUCAUCAGUUUGAAUUUAAAAAGACUGGCCAUAUACUAGGCUCAAAGAAACUCCAUGAAACAACCAUUCAAAAUUAAUUCAUCACAAUAAAAUAUAUUUAAGAAAAUUCAAAGGAGUUCCCUGGAAGAUGCAGACUCUUGGGUCCCAUCCCAAACUACUGAAUCAGAUCUGUGUUAACAGUACCCCUGGGUGAUUCACAUGUACACUAAUGUUUGAAAAGCACUCACUGUCCUAAGAAAUUAGAUCAGAGAGAAAAAUAUAUAACCAACAACUUAGAAAGUAACAAAAAUAGAGAAGAGGCUAUAUAAACUGUAGCAUUUCUAUACCAUGGAAAUUAUAUAGUGACUUAAAAAGACUAUGGUCUGGGUGUGGUGACUCAUGCCUCUAAUCCCAGCAUUUUGGAAGAGUGAAGUGGGAGGAUCUCUUGAGGCCAGGAGUUUGACAUCAGCCUGGACAAAACAGCAAGAACCCCAUUUCUACAGAGUUUAAAAAAUUAGCUGGGCAUGGUAGCACUUGCCUGUAUUCCUAGCUACUAGGGAGGCUGAGGGAGGAGGAUUGCUUGAGCCUAGUAGGUUGAGACUAUAGUGAGUCAUGAUCAUGCCACUGCACUAGCCUGGGUGACAAAAUGAGACCCUGUCCCCACAGCAAAAAAGAAGACUAUGUAAAAAUAUAAAGUUUAAAAUUUUGUGAAAUUAAAAUGAAUCUACAGAAUAUUCUUCCAAUAUGUGGGGGAAAAGACAUAUUAAUAAGACAGAUAUGAAAAGCUGCAUAUGGUGGGGAAAUUAUAAUUAAUGUUUUUAAAAUAUAAAUUAUUUUCAAUAAACUUUAAAAAUGUAAA